rnacentral:rRNA from 1 species
GAGACAGCAGUAGCCGCGGUAAUACAGAGGGUGCGAGCGUUAAUCGGAUUUACUGGGCGUAAAGCGUGCGUAGGCGGCUUCUUAAGUCGGAUGUGAAAUCCCUGAGCUUAACUUAGGAAUUGCAUUCGAUACUGGUUAGCUAGAGUGUGGGAGAGGAUGGUAGAAUUCCAGGUGUAGCGGUGAAAUGCGUAGAGAUCUGGAGGAAUACCGAUGGCGAAGGCAGCCAUCUGGCCUAACACUGACGCUGAGGUACGAAAGCAUGGGGAGCAAACAGGAUUAGAUACCCCCGUAGUCCCUGUCUCUUAUAC